rnacentral:rRNA from 1 species
UACAGAGGCCUCGAGCGUUAGGCGGAAUCACUGGGCUUAAAGCGUGUGUAGGCGGACCCCUAAGUACCUUGUGAAAUCCCACGGCUCACCCGUGGAACGGCUGGGUAUACUGGGGGUCUUGAGCCACCUAGGGGCGAGUGAAACAAAUGGUGGAGCGGUGAAAUGCGUAGAUAUCAUUUGGAACGCCAAUGGUGAAAACAACUCGCUGGGGGUGUGCUGACGCUGAGACACGAAAGCCAGGGGAGCGAACGGG